CAGCACCUCAAGUGGUCAGGAUGAUUAUUGGGCCUAAAGCAUCCGUAGCCGGCGCUGUAAGUUUUCGGUUAAAUCUGUACGCUCAACGUACAGGCUGCCGGGAAUACUGCAGAGCUAGGGAGUGGGAGAGGUAGACGGUACUCGGUAGGAAGGGGUAAAAUCCUUUGAUCUAUCGAUGACCACCUGUGGCGAAGGCGGUCUACCAGAACAUGUCCGACGGUGAGGGAUGAAAGCUGGGGGAGCAAACCGGAUUAGAUACCCGAGUAGUCC
rnacentral:rRNA from 1 species